AGCUUGCUCCUGGAUUCAGCGGCGGACGGGUGAGUAAUGCCUAGGAAUCUGCCUGGUAGUGGGGGAUAACGUCCGGAAACGGGCGCUAAUACCGCAUACGUCCUGAGGGAGAAAGUGGGGGAUCUUCGGACCUCACGCUAUCAGAUGAGCCUAGGUCGGAUUAGCUAGUUGGUGGGGUAAAGGCCUACCAAGGCGACGAUCCGUAACUGGUCUGAGAGGAUGAUCAGUCACACUGGAACUGAGACACGGUCCAGACUCCUACGGGAGGCAGCAGUGGGGAAUAUUGGACAAUGGGCGAAAGCCUGAUCCAGCCAUGCCGCGUGUGUGAAGAAGGUCUUCGGAUUGUAAAGCACUUUAAGUUGGGAGGAAGGGCAGUAAGUUAAUACCUUGCUGUUUUGACGUUACCAACAGAAUAAGCACCGGCUAACUUCGUGCCAGCAGCCGCGGUAAUACGAAGGGUGCAAGCGUUAAUCGGAAUUACUGGGCGUAAAGCGCGCGUAGGUGGUUCAGCAAGUUGGAUGUGAAAUCCCCGGGCUCAACCUGGGAACUGCAUCCAAAACUACUGAGCUAGAGUACGGUAGAGGGUGGUGGAAUUUCCUGUGUAGCGGUGAAAUGCGUAGAUAUAGGAAGGAACACCAGUGGCGAAGGCGACCACCUGGACUGAUACUGACACUGAGGUGCGAAAGCGUGGGGAGCAAACAGGAUUAGAUACCCCGGUAGUCCACGCCGUAAACGAUGUCGACUAGCCGUUGGGAUCCUUGAGAUCUUAGUGGCGC
rnacentral:rRNA from 1 species